UUUAGAACCGAGACUGAAAUGGACUAAUUUAGACUGUUCACGCAAAAUCCGCUACGUGGAUAAAUAAACCCGUCUAUCGCGAGAUAUGAACAACGGAAACGCAAAAAGCAGGAGAGAGAGAGGGAGAGAGACAGAGAGACAGAGAAAGAGAGAGAUAGGCUGAAACACGCGCCACCUAUCUUCACGGGGAGGGAUAAUUGAGGAGGACCAAACGUGAGCAUCUUCAGGGAACCCCAAUCAGACCGGAGCGCGGGCGGGAAAAGGUGCCUCAACAUCCUCAACAUCUGGAGCUGUGGAGGCGGCAGCUGCGGGAGGGGGAGCGCCACUUAAGGGGACCAGGACGUAGAUCUUCACAAAGGCGCAGCAGUCCCGGUGGAGCAGCGGAGUCUUCGCUACUGGAGGAUCCUCAGAAAGCAUCUCCCCU
ensembl:lncRNA